CGAAGAGGCUGCCCAUACGAGGAGGCGGUGUAGACAAGCCAUCGAGCAUUUCGGGACUUGGAGUUUUUACUUUGGCUUGUGGUUUCCGCAGGUUUCAGCGCGUUGUUUUGGGUAGUGGCAGGAGAGGGAAGGGCGCUAAAUUAGAGAAACUGAUGUAAUAUGUAGUAUAGGCCAGAAGAACACUGAAAGAAAGCUUGAUGUAAUGAAAAGGCCCUGGUCUGAGAUACCAAAAACUGGAAACUUGUUCUAGAAGGCUUUUGGUCUAGUUGUGGAGGACGUUGCUUCACUGGCCCAAG